AAUGAGGUGAUUAGCAAGGAGCCAGGAAGGAGAAGCAUGGAGCAAAUUCACAAGGCAAGAAGAAGAGUGUGUCUUUUGUUUUGACUUGUAGGAUAAGCAACAAGCCUUUCCUUUCAAGUUCUGCUGAGCUGGCCGAUCUUUGGGAAUUGAAAUGGUCUGUGUACACUGGUCAUCGCUGCAUCUUCAAGGCCUGGCCUUGAGUACUUGACACACGGUAGACGUGCAGUUCUCAUGGUUGCACCACUUGAUCUCUGGUCGCUUCAUGCCAGUCUCCAUGGUCACAUUCCAUCUUCUGUGUCCAUCUGAAGAAGUUCCCCUGCCUCGCUCAUUAGAGAUGUGUGACGAAAUUGAAGGCCAGUUGGAUAAUCCAAGGCAUCCUGCAUGUCAGGACCCCGGUUACGCUCUGCAUGUGUAUGUCACCUCAAUUUCAUGGGUUGAAGCUCUACUCACCCCUGUGAUGGUAUGUGGAGGUGAGGAAUCUGAGAAAUAAUUAGGAUUACGUAAGGCCACAAGAGUGGCCCUUCUCGAGGAAUGGUGUCCUUGUAUAAAGACAAAGAACAGAAGAUUUCUUUCCACUGUUUGAAGAUACACCAAGAAGGCACCAUCUGCAAACCAGAAAAAAGGGUCUCACCAGGCACCAUGUUUUCUAGUGGCAAUGUCUUGAACCCCCUGACUUUCCAAACUGUGAGAAAUAAAUACUGUUGUAUUAUC